rnacentral:rRNA from 2 species
CACGCAGUAAACGAUGAUUACUCGCUGUUUGCGAUACACAGUAAGCGGCUUAGCGAAAGCGUUAAGUAAUCCACCUGGGGAGUACGUUCGCAAGAAUGAAACUCAAAGGAAUUGACGGGGGCCCGCACAAGCGGAGGAACAUGUGGUUUAAUUCGAUGAUACGCGAGGAACCUUACCCGGGCUUGAAAUGCAUCUGACAGGAGCAGAGACGCUCUCUCCCUUCGGGGCAGAUGUGUAGGUGC